AGAGUUUGAUCCUGGCUCAGGAUGAACGCUGGCGGCGUGCCUAAUACAUGCAAGUCGAGCGAACGGACGAGAAGCUUGCUUCUCUGAUGUUAGCGGCGGACGGGUGAGUAACACGUGGAUAACCUACCUAUAAGACUGGGAUAACUUCGGGAAACCGGAGCUAAUACCGGAUAAUAUUUUGAACCGCAUGGUUCAAAAGUGAAAGACGGUCUUGCUGUCACUUAUAGAUGGAUCCGCGCUGCAUUAGCUAGUUGGUAAGGUAACGGCUUACCAAGGCAACGAUGCAUAGCCGACCUGAGAGGGUGAUCGGCCACACUGGAACUGAGACACGGUCCAGACUCCUACGGGAGGCAGCAGUAGGGAAUCUUCCGCAAUGGGCGAAAGCCUGACGGAGCAACGCCGCGUGAGUGAUGAAGGUCUUCGGAUCGUAAAACUCUGUUAUUAGGGAAGAACAUAUGUGUAAGUAACUGUGCACAUCUUGACGGUACCUAAUCAGAAAGCCACGGCUAACUACGUGCCAGCAGCCGCGGUAAUACGUAGGUGGCAAGCGUUAUCCGGAAUUAUUGGGCGUAAAGCGCGCGUAGGCGGUUUUUUAAGUCUGAUGUGAAAGCCCACGGCUCAACCGUGGAGGGUCAUUGGAAACUGGAAAACUUGAGUGCAGAAGAGGAAAGUGGAAUUCCAUGUGUAGCGGUGAAAUGCGCAGAGAUAUGGAGGAACACCAGUGGCGAAGGCGACUUUCUGGUCUGUAACUGACGCUGAUGUGCGAAAGCGUGGGGAUCAAACAGGAUUAGAUACCCUGGUAGUCCACGCCGUAAACGAUGAGUGCUAAGUGUUAGGGGGUUUCCGCCCCUUAGUGCUGCAGCUAACGCAUUAAGCACUCCGCCUGGGGAGUACGACCGCAAGGUUGAAACUCAAAGGAAUUGACGGGGACCCGCACAAGCGGUGGAGCAUGUGGUUUAAUUCGAAGCAACGCGAAGAACCUUACCAAAUCUUGACAUCCUUUGACAA
rnacentral:rRNA from 2 species